rnacentral:misc_RNA from 1 species
GGAAGGAUCAUUACCGAGCUAAAUAAAAAAGUACUCUUACUGAAAUACGGGUCCGUCGUAACCCAGUAUAAAGAAGUACUAUGCUUUGUUCUUUACCAGCGCGAAACGCAGUUAGGCGCAAAAGAAAGCGCAAUACUGUCGUUGGUAAUAUAUAUAAAAAAACAAAGCUAUCAGGGAUAACUGGUAAAAAAAAAACUAGACUAGAAAAGGGUUUAGUAGUCGGCUUAUUAACCACUCGUAAUGCAUAUAUCGGGUCGUCGAGUCAGCGGAGUUUGGAUACCUGCUCGCGAUCUAGUCUGUGGGAUGCAUAUGAGUCGAAGCGUUAGUAAGUCGGUGAAAUCUCGUAGUAUAGUCUAAGUUUAAAAAAAGAAAAUAGUAUCCCUUUCUCUAUCUAGAGCGAGUCUUAUAUAAUAUUUUUGAUUCGUAAUAUAUGUGCGCGGGUCGUCGAGGCGGCCUAGAAUGUGGGAUAUAUACGAAUUAAUAAAUAGACUCCUGCAAAAUGCUCUAGAUAUAGAUUAACAGACGAGCGGGAUUACGAGUAUCAUAAUUCUUACUCUAAUUCUUUUUCGGGUACCUAUCGAAUCUAGCGAUACAGCUAACGUCUGGCUGUACAGUAAACUCGUUAGAUUCGAGGAUCUUAGUACCGAUAUCUAGUAAUCGCUUAUAAUAUAUAGUCUUCGGACUCGGCGUUUUGCUAGAUAAAGGGAAUGGACAGAUUUAAAGAGUUAUCGGCUUGAAGAUACUUGAGCGUAAAUAUUCUCGGUAUUCUUUAGGCGGUUAAUUGAUUAGUAGCCGCGCAAAUAUAUAUCGGUGAAACUCAGUUAGCUCAGGGUGCCUUCUUAGUUGAGGGUACUCGGGUAACCGCCCGAAAACCAAACAAAGUUAUAUUAAUAUUAUAUAUAUAUAAAACUUUGCUAGAAAGUAAAGUAUUAUUAAAAAUUAAGAAUCCUAGAGAGAUUCCAUUCCAAGCGGUGGAUCACUAGGCUCGUGGGUCGAUGAAGAACGGGGCCAGCCCCGAGAAUAAGUGCGAAUUGCAGACACAAAGAACAUCGACGUUUCGAACGCAUAUUGCGGUAUCGGGCCAGCUCGAUACCACGCCUAUCUGAGGGUCGAAUUAAGAAUAAAAUUCGGCUACGUUCUAAAGUAAGAUUUUAGACGUAUAUAUAAGAAAUAGACUCUAGACUAGUCUUUAAGGACGGUCGUCGAGUCUUAAAAUGCUCGUCGUAAAUAAUACGAGUAUUAGAAAAAGUACGUAUACACAUUGGCCAGCCAUGUCUACGGCAAGCUAGACGAGGGUUAGCUAAAAGGUAUAUAGGUACUAGUUAUAAUAGCUAAAGUCUAUAUAGACGGACGUCAUCAAAGUUAAUAACUAAAAGUUAACCAGAGUAAUAAACUGGUCGGAAAAUACUUUUAGUCUUCGACGUAAAUAUGAUCGAUUCGUCGCGUUUAUAAUAUACGUAUAGACGAUAAGCUAUAUAAAUAACGAAAUUUGACCUCAGAUUAGACGUGAAAACCCGCCGAAUUUAAGCAUAUAACUAGGCGGAGGAAAAGAAAUUAACGAAGAUUUCCCUAGUAACGGCGAGUGAAAAGGAAAUAGUUCAGCGCUGAAUCCCUUAGCCCAUGGUUAAGGGACCUGUAGCGUGAAGGAGAGCCUAUCUGUCGGGUUGUUGGCUUCGGAAUAUCCCUCGAAUGGGAACCCAAAGCAGGUGCGAGGCCUGUAACGAGGUGAUAUCCGUCAGUUUGCGCCUCCUUAGAGUCGGGUUACUUGAGAGUGUAGCCCAAAGCGGAAGGUAAACCCCUUCUAAAGCUAAAUAUUACCACGAGACCGAUAGCGAACAAGUACCGCGAGGGAAAGUUGAAAAGAACUUUGAAGAGAGAGUUCAAAAGGGCGUGAAACCGCUUAGAAGAAAACGGACGGAGCCGUCGGGAGCCUUCGGGAAUCAGUCUUACGAUACACGAAAGUAUCAUAGUUUAGGAACGCAAGUCCGACUAUGGUAUAGUAUGAAGUAGUGUUCGUGCGGCGCAUUUCUCGAAGGUAAGCACUGCGACCGAUACGAAAGGCCGACGAGGCGUUUGGAUUGAGGGCGAGUCCUCUUACGGGGACUCGUAACCAGUCUAUUCGUUCCAUAGUCGUUGGACCGCAGUAUGUAUCGAGCGCCAAAGUCUAUAUAUACGUCGGCGUAAACGCUCGCUCGAGUAAUGGAUAGUUGGUCAAUAGCGUUGGUAUCUGCUCGCAGGUGCUAGCCUAUUCGAUUCGGCUAAGAAGUUAUCGGCGACAUACGACGUAUAGGCGUCCGCAGUGUCAGUGUCGGCCACCCGUCCGACCCGUCUUGAAACACGGACCAAGGAGUCUAACAUAUGCGCGAGCUAAUGGGUGGAAAACCCAAAGGCGCAAUAAAAGUAAACGCUGUUUCGGACAGCUAAGGUACGAUCCAAGGAUUCGAGCGAUCCUAGGCGCAGUACCGUCCCGUCCCGACCGCAUAUCGGUAGGGCGGAGAUAGAGUGCAUACGUUGGGACCCGAAAGAUGGUGAACUAUGCCUGAGCAGAGCGAAGCCAGAGGAAACUCUGGUGGAGGUUCGUAGCGGUUCUGACGUGCAAAUCGAUCGUCAGACUUGGGUAUAGGGGCGAAAGACUAAUCGAACCAUCUAGUAGCUGGUUCCCCC